rnacentral:rRNA from 1 species
GACGUAGGGCGCGAGCGUUGUCCGGAUUUAUUGGGCGUAAAGAGCUCGUAGGCGGUGUGUCACGUCGUUCGUGAAAACCUGCAGCUUAACUGUGGGCGUGCGGUCGAUACGGGCAUCACUGGAGUUCGGCAGGGGAGACUGGAAUUCCUGGUGUAGCGGUGAAAUGCGCAGAUAUCAGGAGGAACACCGGUGGCGAAGGCGGGUCUCUGGGCCGAUACUGACGCUGAGGAGCGAAAGCGUGGGGAGCGAACAGG